GCCAGUGUGUCGACUGUUGGUCAACGUCGAAGCGGACUGUAAAUCCGUCGCCUGCGGGCAUCGGGGGUUCGAUUCCCUCCACUGAGCA
rnacentral:tRNA from 2 species